rnacentral:rRNA from 1 species
AUUGAACGCUGGCGGAAUGCUUUACACAUGCAAGUCGAACGGUAGAGGGGGCAACCCCUCGAGAGUGGCGAACGGGUGAGUAAUAUAUCGGAACGUGCCCAGUCGUGGGGGAUAACGUAGCGAAAGUUACGCUAAUACCGCAUACGAUCUAAGGAUGAAAGCGGGGGAUCGCAAGACCUCGCGCGAUUGGAGCGGCCGAUAUCAGAUUAGGUAGUUGGUGGGGUAAAGGCUCACCAAGCCAACGAUCUGUAGCUGAUCUGAAAGGACGACCAGCCACACUGGAACUGAGACACGGUCCAGACGCCUACGGGAGGCAGCAGUGGGGAAUUUUGGACAAUGGACGCAAGUCUGAUCCAGCCAUUCCGCGUGCAGGAUGAAGGCCCUCGGGUUGUAAACUGCUUUUGUACGGAACGAAAAGGUCUCUCUUAAUACGGGGGGCUCAUGACGGUACCGUAAGAAUAAGCACCGGCUAACUACGUGCCAGCCGCCGCGGUAA